rnacentral:ncRNA from 1 species
CUUUUAGGUUAUGCAGUUAUACCUUAGGAUUAUAGGGUAAUAUAGUCAAAUUCCGGGGAACCCCUAAAGCUUAUUUUACCAAACUUUAUACGAAAGUAUCACAGUGGAAGAAUUAAUUACUCUUGUAUGGUAACAAUAAAUAAGAUACUCUAAAGAGUAAUGGGCAAUCGCGGAUCUAAAUCAGUCCAUGCAUAUCCCGAACUUCGUUCGGGAUCAGGCAGGCGUAAUAUCUUAUUAUGCAACUGUAAAAGAGCAACGAGUAAACGGCUAUAGAUAUUUACAAGACUUGUUUGGUUGAGUAAUAUAUUUAAGAUGUAUUCUAAUUAGCUUAGAAAUAAGUUA